CGCUGCAUUUUGGUCCGAUCCUUUCGACAGCCGUGACAAACGUGGCCAAAGCCUGCUGAAGGAGAGAGGACUGAAGAACAUAUGCAUCGGCAUCUAGGGGUACCCCACCUGUAAGGAGAAGGUGAAAUGGCGCCCGGGCGGGAGGUCAUCUAUAAAUACGUGCAGCGGCCUUUCAUCCAACUGUCCUGGGAGAAGGAGGAAGGAAAGAGUCAACACAUGGACAGACUUCCAGUGUGUCCCCAACAUCAUCGCCUCUCUGGGGGAGCCACCCCAACCCGCAACCACACACACCCCGAACCGCAACCACACCCACCCUGCAGGUCGACGAGCUGGAUAGGCUGAUCAACACUGAUCCCCACCCUCCAAUGACAGUUGAGGCGAGCAUAGAGGUUGACCUUGUAUAGGUAAAUUUAUGCCCCAUAUUGGUUAAGGUCAGGGUUUGGCAAGGUUGAGCUGAUCCUAAAUCUGUGUUUUGGGGCAACUUCUACCCGAGGCCCUCAUCUGUUAGCCUGUCUCCCACUCAGGAUAUGUACAUUUACAGACACACUCAAACAAACCUCAAUGACUGUACAGUCCAAACCCAUAUACACAUACCGAGACAGAGGAGCAUGCAACACAGACAUGUAUACAGAUGUUAGAUCUUAAUUUUGUCACUGAAUAAAAAUGCAUUCACUGGAAAUCCACACUAAUGAACAGUUUUGUACUUUUAAUGUAGAUUAAUUUUGGCCAGGUAAUAGCCUAACCACCGAUCAAGCAACAUUACAUCGGCGGAAAAGUGUAUGUUCAAAUCCUGUUGCUGCAACAAUACUGGUCAAAUUAAGAUCCUACAUCUGUACAUGUAUGCACACAUACAAACGGAUUUGGACAAGGAUGUUUACAGCAUAUAACCAGACCGCCUAGUGUGUAUCUGUUCAGUUGUCUUACUAAUACUUUACCCACCACCACCCCCAUAUGUUAGAUUACGUUUGUGUGCUGUUUCUUUCCUUUUAUACUUUGUACAUUGUUUAUAUGAAGUUCGCCGUUCAGUAUUAUUUAAGGUUAUGUUCAAAGAAUUUGUUUCAAGAAUUUCACAGCUGCACUGGAAAUUUGAAUAAAUAUAUUGACUGAACUAA